rnacentral:rRNA from 1 species
AAGUCGAGCGAAGCAGUUAAGAAGAUUCUUCGGAUGAUUCUUAACUGACUGAGCGGCGGACGGGUGAGUAACGCGUGGGUGACCUGCCCCAUACCGGGGGAUAACAGCUGGAAACGGCUGCUAAUACCGCAUAAGCGCACAGAGCUGCAUGGCUCGGUGUGAAAAACUCCGGUGGUAUGGGAUGGGCCCGCGUCUGAUUAGGCAGUUGGCGGGGUAACGGCCCACCAAACCGACGAUCAGUAGCCGGCCUGAGAGGGUGACCGGCCACAUUGGGACUGAGACAUGGCCCAAACUCCUACGGGAGGCAGCAGUGGGGAAUAUUGCACAAUGGGGGAAACCCUGAUGCAGCGACGCCGCGUGAGCGAAGAAGUAUUUCGGUAUGUAAAGCUCUAUCAGCAGGGAAGAUAAUGACGGUACCUGACUAAGAAGCCCCGGCUAACUACGUGCCAGCAGCCGCGGUAAUACGUAGGGGGCAAGCGUUAUCCGGAUUUACUGGGUGUAAAGGGAGCGUAGACGGCAAGGCAAGUCUGAUGUGAAAACCCAGGGCUUAACCCUGGGACUGCAUUGGAAACUGUCUGGCUCGAGUGCCGGAGAGGUAAGCGGAAUUCCUAGUGUAGCGGUGAAAUGCGUAGAUAUUAGGAAGAACACCAGUGGCGAAGGCGGCUUACUGGA